rnacentral:rRNA from 1 species
CCUUUGACGUUAGCGGCGGACGGGUGAGUAACACGUGGGUAACCUACCUAUAAGACUGGGAUAACUUCGGGAAACCGGAGCUAAUACCGGAUAAUAUUUCGAACCGCAUGGUUCGAUAGUGAAAGGUGGUUUUGCUAUCACUUAUAGAUGGACCCGCGCCGUAUUAGCUAGUUGGUAGGGUAACGGCUUACCAAGGCGACGAUACGUAGCCGACCUGAGAGGGUGAUCGGCCACACUGGAACUGAGACACGGUCCAGACUCCUACGGGAGGCAGCAGCC